GUCUGUGGUGUAAAGGUUAAUCAUGGCUGCCUUCCAAGCUGUCGAUCCAGGUUCGAUUCCCGGCAGAAGCA
rnacentral:tRNA from 1 species